rnacentral:lncRNA from 1 species
GAGUCACUACCAGCUCCAGAGCAGAAGGUGCAACACAAAAACGGGGAAAGCACUUAUGCAGGUAAGGGCAGCUUAGCCCAGCUUGUCACACAGGUGGUUGGCAGGGAUUUGCUUCUUUCCUAUAUACUGGCUUGUGGGCCUUCUGCUGUGUGACUAUUUGCUGGGACAGGUUCUGCCAAAAUGUCGCCUGGGCACAAAGAAUGCUGAGAAGAGAGCACAGACUCCACGCCUGGCUCCAUAUGAAGUCUGCAGUCCCAAUGAGGUGACCUUCCCACACAGGCAUCCUGAGAGGGCAGAGCAGCCCCUGCACACCAUCCACUGUGGACCAAGGAGCCACUUGUCGAGGUGUAUCACUCAAAUUACAAAGCCUAUGAGAUGGGCUGAUGAACCUUGAUACAGACAGGACAUAACAGCCUAGAAGGGGUUAAGUGGCAUGCUGAAGGCUUCAGGCUAGUGAGUGUAGAACUCUAACUGAAAUUCAGGUCCUCCUGGAUGCAGGCCCCUCCUCUGUCUCCUGUGCUGGUGAGAGGUCUGUUCACCUCCCUUGCAGAUUCUGAGUGGAACUAUGAGAGCAGUGACUGCACCCAUAAGUCUGAGCUCUUUCUCAGCUCAGCGUUCUCUGACCAAAGGAAAAAGUGGCUUCCUAAAGUCCCCUGAAAUCGUGCUCAAAAUUACUAUGUGUGUAUAACUAUUUUUUUUUUUUGCUAAAGGUCUAUAGUUUACUAUUUACUUUUUAGUUAUUUAUGUUACUGGGGAUUGAUCCUUAUACACACUAGGCAAGUACUCCACUGAGCUAUAUCCACAACCCUCCUUUUACAGUGUAUUUUUGAGGCAAGGUCUCACUAAGUUGCCCAGGCUGGAUGUGAUCUCACUCUGUAGCCCAGGCAGGCCUGGAACAUGCAAUCACUCCACUCCCCACUCCCCUAGGAGCUGGGAUUAUAGGCCCAUACCUCUAGGAGUCUUGAAAGGAUCUAUGCCUUGUCGAAGGUUAAUAACCAUUAUAGGAAUCAAGACCGACUCUGCUCUACCAGGAGAGGAGUUGGAGUUCUUCAACUCUCUUCUGCUUCUGCCCCUGCUCUGUGCUCCCAUGUGAGUCCUGGGGGCCUGCUGCUCCCCCAGAGCUCCCUCAGAGCUUGGAAACAUCCUACGAGGGAAAUGCCAGCCAAGCAGCCAGUGCAGCAUCUUUCAUAGGCCGAGAGGGCCCGGGGAAGGAGGCCUGGCUCUUUGCCCAAAGCAUCGUGAGAGCAACCUUCAGACUUUGAUGAGUCAAGUCCAUGAAAAAAGUGGACAACAACAUUGUGAAAGAGAAAAAUAACUCUUUAGGUCAGGAAGGUCUAGGCCAAGUAGCUUUCAGGUCUUUCUGAAAUAAGGAUUCUAAGGAUCUGGGUUGACGGCUGGGGAGAUGGUUCUGUUGAUAAAGUACUUGCCGCAUAAGUGUGAGGACCUGAGUUUGGUCCCUAUACUCUACAUUAAGAAAAUCCAGGUGUGGUGAUGUACACUUACAAUCCCAGCCCAAGAGAGAGAAGAGGACCCCCGGGGCUCACUGCCAAGCCAGUGUAGUCUACUCAUUAAGUCCCAGGUCAGUAUGACAGACCUUUCCUCAAAAAACUGAGGUGACAGGCUGGAGAGGUGGCUCAAUGGUUAAGAGCACUGACUGCUCUUCCAGAGGUUCUGAGUUCAAUUUCCAGCAACUACAUGGUGGCUCACAACCAUUUGUAAUGGGAUCCAAUGCCCUCUUCUAGUGUGUAUCUGAAGAUAGCUGCAGUGUAAUCAUAUAAAUAAAAAAUAAAUAAAUCUU